rnacentral:rRNA from 1 species
CGAACGGGUGAGUAAUGCGUGACCAACCUGCCCCAUGCUCCAGAAUAGCUCUUGGAAACGGGUGGUAAUGCUGAAUGCUCCAACUUGACGCAUGUCUUGUUGGGAAAGUGUUUAGUGGCAUGGGAUGGGGUCGCGUCCUAUCAGCUUGUAGGCGGGGUAAUGGCCCACCUAGGCUUCGACGGGUAGCCGGCCUGAGAGGGCGGACGGCCACAUUGGGACUGAGAUACGGCCCAGACUCCUACGGGAGGCAGCAGC